GGCGGAGAGCUGUAGACGUAAGGAGGAGGUGGUGGCGACUUGUAAACAUACGGAGGAGGCGGUGGAGAGCUGUAGACGUACGGAGGAGGUGGUGGCGACUUGUAAACAUAUGGAGGAGGCGGUGGAGAGCUGUAGACGUAUGGAGGAGGAGGGGGAGACUUGUAAACAUAUGGAGGAGGCGGUGGAGAACUGUAAACAUAAGGAGGAGGUGGUGGCGACUUGUACACAUAUGGUGAAGGUGGAGGAGAACUAUAAACGUAAGGAGGAGGUGGUGGCGACUUGUAAACAUAUGGAGGAGGCGGUGGGGAGUUGUAAACGUAUGGAGGAGGAGGGGGAGACUUGUAAACAUAUGGAGGAGGCGGUGGAGAGCUGUAGACGUAUGGAGGAGGAGGGGGAGACUUGUAAACAUAUGGAGGAGGCGGUGGAGAGCUGUAAACAUAAGGAGGAGGUGGUGGCGACUUGUAAACAUAUGGAGGUGGUGGUGGAGAGCUAUAGACGUAAGGAGGUGGUGGUGGAGACUUGUAAACAUAUGGUGGAGGUGGAGGAGAACUAUAAACGUAAGGAGGAGGUGGUGGCGACUUGUAAACAUAUGGAGGUGGUGGUGGAGAGCUGUAGACGUAUGGAGGAGGAGGGGGAGACUUGUAAACAUAUGGAGGAGGCGGUGGAGAGCUGUAAACAUAAGGAGGAGGUGGUGGCGACUUGUAAACAUAUGGAGGUGGUGGUGGAGAGCUAUAGACGUAAGGAGGUGGUGGUGGAGACUUGUAAACAUAUGGUGGAGGUGGAGGAGAACUAUAAACGUAAGGAGGAGGUGGUGGCGACUUGUAAACAUAUGGAGGUGGUGGUGGAGAACUGUAGACGUAGGGUGGUGGUGGCGGAGACUUGUAAACAUAUGGAGGAGGCGGUGGAGAGUUAUAGACGUAUGGAGGAGGAGGGGGAGACUUGUAAACAUAUGGAGGAGGCGGUGGAGAGCUGUAAACAUAAGGAGGAGGCGGUGGCGACUUGUAAAUAUAUGGAGGUGGUGGUGGAGAGCUAUAGACGUAAGGAGGUGGUGGGGGAGACUUGUAAAUAUAUGGUGGAGGUGGAGGAGAACUAUAAACGUAUGGAGGAGGUGGUGGCGACUUGUAAAUAUAUGGAGGAGGUGGUGGAGAACUAUAAACGUAAGGAGGAGGUGGUGGAGAGCUAUAGAUAUGUGUAGGAGGUUUGUAAACAUAUGAUGGUGGUGAUGGUGGAGAGUAUGUGUAUUGGGCACUUGUAUG
rnacentral:lncRNA from 1 species